rnacentral:rRNA from 1 species
UACAGAGGUCCCGAGCGUUGUCCGGAUUUACUGGGCGUAAAGAGCGCGCAGGCGGUCGCUCAAGUCGCGUGUGAAAGCCCCCGGCUCAACUGGGGAGGGUCACGCGAUACUGAUCGACUGGAAGGCAGGAGAGGGUAGUGGAAUUCCCGGUGUAGUGGUGAAAUGCGUAGAUAUCGGGAGGAACACCAGUGGCGAAGGCGACUACCUGGCCUGUUCUUGACGCUGAGGCGCGAAAGCUAGGGGAGCAAACGGGG